GGCCUAACACAUGCAAGUCGAACGGUCGCACGGGAGCUUGCUCCUGGUGGCGAGUGGCGAAGGGGUGAUUAAUAUAUCGGAACGUACCCUAGAGUGGGGGAUGACGCAUCGAAAGUUGCGCUAAUACCGCAUACAAUCUACGGAUGAAAGUGGGGGAUCGCAAGACCUCAUGCUCAUGGAGCGGCCGAUAUCUGAUUAGCUAGAUGGUAGGGUAAAAGCCUACCAUGGCUUCGAUCAGUGGCUGGGCUGAGAGGACGACCAUCCUCACUGGAACUGAGACGCGGUCCAUACUCCUACGGGAGGCAGCAGUGGGGAAUUUUGGACAAUGGGCGCAAGCCUGAUCCAGCAAUGCCGCGUGAGUGAAGAAGGCCUUCGGGUUGUAAAGCUCUUUUGUCAGGGAAGAAACGGUGGACUCUAAUACAGAUCACUAAUGACGGUACCUGAAGAAUAAGCACCGGCUAACUACGUGCCAACAUCCGCGGUAAUACGUAGGGUGCAAGCGUUAAUCGGAAUUACUGGGCGUAAAGCGUGCGCAGGCGGUUUGGUAAUACAGAUGUGAAAUCCCUGGGCUCAACCUAGGAAUUGCAUUUGUGACUGCCCGGCUAGAGUGUGUCAGAGGGGGGUAGAAUUCCACGUGUAGCAGUGAAAUGCGUAGAGAUGUGGAGGAAUACCGAUGGCGAAGGCAGCCCCCUGGGGCAAUACUGACGCUCAUGCACGAAAGCGUGAGGAGCAGACAAGAUUAGAUACCCUGGUAGUCCACGCCCUAGACGAUGUCAACUAGUUGUCGGGUCUUCAUUGACUUGGUAACGAAGCUAACGCGUGAAG
rnacentral:rRNA from 1 species